UGGCGGCGUGCUUAACACAUGCAAGUCGAGCGAAGCGCCUUCUGAUUCUCGGAUGAAGAAGGGAUGACUGAGCGGCGGACGGGUGAGUAACGCGUGGGGAACCUGCCCCAUACCGGGGGAUAACAGUUAGAAAUGACUGCUAAUACCGCAUAAGCGCACACACAGGCAUCUGUGAGUGUGAAAAACUCCGGUGGUAUGGGAUGGACCCGCGUCGGAUUAGCCAGUUGGCGGGGUAACGGCCCACCAAAGCGACGAUCCGUAGCCGGCCUGAGAGGGCGACCGGCCACAUUGGGACUGAGACACGGCCCAAACUCCUACGGGAGGCAGCAGUGGGGAAUAUUACACAAUGGGGGAAACCCUGAUGCAGCGACGCCGCGUGAGUGAUGAAGUAUUUCGGUAUGUAAAGCUCUAUCAGCAGGGAAGAAGACGACGGUACCUGACUAAGAAGCCCCGGCUAACUACGUGCCAGCCGCGGC
rnacentral:rRNA from 1 species